rnacentral:lncRNA from 1 species
CGACGGCCACUACCACCGCUCGUACACCAUCAGGAACAGCAUAUAAAAACUGCUGUCACUUUCCCAAUUUUCUCACCCCCAAAUUCCUCAUCCCCAUUCCUCCUGCACAUCGCUUCUCCCCUCUCCCCCACCUCCGUCGUCCGUCUCCGGCCUUCGCAACGGCAGCAGCCACUACCCACGGCCCAGGUGAACUUGGUCAGUCCGAAGAUGGAGAUGGAAUCAAAACACGGUGAAGGUGGAGAAGAAUUGAAUCAAUUACCUCUACGGCAAACGUCCAGAGACGCCCAACGGUGA